CUCAAUCUUCAUCUCAGU
rnacentral:snRNA from 1 species